rnacentral:rRNA from 1 species
AACGUAGGUUCCGAGCGUUAUCCGGAUUUACUGGGCGUAAAGCGCGUUCAGGCGGUUCGGCAAGUCGGGCAUGAAAUCCUUCGGCCCAACCGAAGAACGUCGAUCGAUACUGCUGUUCCAGAGGAUUGCAGAGGAGACUGGAAUUCCCGGUGUAGCGGUGAAAUGUGUAGAGAUCGGAGGAACGACCGGUGGCGAAGGCGGGUCUCUGGGCAAUUCCUGACGCUGAGGCGCGAAAGCGUGGGGAGCAAACGGG